AUUGAACGCUGGCGGAAUGCUUUACACAUGCAAGUCGAACGGCAGCAUAGGUGCUUGCACCUGAUGGCGAGUGGCGAACGGGUGAGUAAUACAUCGGAACGUGCCCAGUCGUGGGGGAUAACGUAGCGAAAGUUACGCUAAUACCGCAUACGAUCUAAGGAUGAAAGCGGGGGACCGUAAGGCCUCGCGCGAUUGGAGCGGCCGAUGUCAGAUUAGGUAGUUGGUGAGGUAAAGGCUCACCAAGCCGACGAUCUGUAGCUGGUCUGAGAGGACGCACAGCCACACUGGGACUGAGACACGGCCCAGACUCCUGCGGGAGGCAGCAGUGGGGAAUUUUGGACAAUGGACGCAAGUCUGAUCCAGCCAUUCCGCGUGCAGGACGAAGGCCUUCGGGUUGUAAACUGCUUUUGUACGGAACGAAAAAGCUCUUACUAAUACUAGGAGUCCAUGACGGUACCGUAAGAAUAAGCACCGGCUAACUACGUGCCAGCCGCCGCCGUAA
rnacentral:rRNA from 1 species